AUUGAACGCUGGCGGCAGGCCUAACACAUGCAAGUCGAGCGGAUGAAGGGAGCUUGCUCCUGGAUUCAGCGGCGGACGGGGGAGUAAUGCCUAGGAAUCUGCCUGGUAGUGGGGGAUAACGUCCGGAAACGGGCGCUAAUACCGCAUACUUCCUGAGGGAGAAAGUGGGGGAUCUUCGGACCUCACGCUAUCAUAUGAGCCUAGGUCGGAUUAGCUAGUUGGUGGGGUAAAGGCCUACCAAGGCGACGAUCCGUAACUGGUCUGAGAGGAUGAUCAGUCACACUGGAACUGAGACACGGUCCAGACUCCUACGGGAGGCAGCAGUGGGGAAUAUUGGACAAUGGGCGAAAGCCUGAUCCAGCCAUGCCGCGUGUGUGAAGAAGGUCUUCGGAUUGUAAAGCACUUUAAGUUGGGAGGAAGGGCAGUAAGUUAAUACCUUGCUGUUUUGACGUUACCAACAGAAUAAGCACCGGCUAACUUCGUG
rnacentral:rRNA from 1 species